rnacentral:sRNA from 23 species
GUUUCGCGGCCUCUUCGGCUCAGGUUGCCAAUUCUCCGGCUGCAGCUCUGCUUUGCGCUGCCAGUGAUGCGCUGGUAUCAGAUGCGGCGGCGUGGGUGGAUGCCUCCGAUGCUGAUGACUAGGCGGCUGCCGCCGUUCUGGCUGUGUCAGCCGACGCCGCGCUGGCUGAUGCCUCCCCGGCUUUUGUGGUCGCCGUACCUGCGCUGCUCUCCGCAGAUGCUGCGGAUGAAGCUGCCGACCAAAAUUCCCCUUGAAAACCAGCCUGUCAGGGCUGGUUUUUUU